GUAGGGUGCAAGCAUUGUCCGGAUUACUGGGCGUAAAGAGUUCUGUAGGCUGUUGUGUAAGUCAUGGGUAAAAGACCCCGGCCCAACCGGGGAAGCGCUCAUGAUACUGCAUAACUAGAGGAAGUUAGGGAACAGCGGAACAUAUGGAGGAGCGGUGAUAUGCGUUGAUCUCAUAUGGAACACCGAGGGGGUAGCCAGCUGUUUGGGACUUUCCUGACGCUAAGAGACGAAAGUGUGGGUAGCGAUACGGGAUUAGAUACCCGUGUAGUCCACACCGUAAACGAUGUCUGCUAGAUACUUGUAUUUAUAUGGGUGUCGAAGCUAACGCGUUAAGCAGACCGCCUGGGGAGUACGGUCGCAAGAUCA
rnacentral:rRNA from 1 species